rnacentral:rRNA from 1 species
CCUACGGGAGGCAGCAGUGGGGAAUAUUGCACAAUGGGGGAAACCCUGAUGCAGCGACGCCGCGUGAGUGAAGCAGUAAUUCGUUAUGUAACGCUCUAUCAGCAGGGAAGAAAAUGACGGUACCUGAGUAAGAAGCCCCGGCUAACUACGUGCCAGCAGCCGCGGUAGUACGUAGGGGGCAAGCGUUCUCCGGAUUUACUGGGUGUAAAGGGAGCGUAGACGGCAGUGCAAGGCUGGAGUGAAAGGCCGGGGCUCAACCCCCGGACUGCUCUGGAAACUGUACGGCUGGAGUGCAGGAGAGGUAAGUGGAAUUCCUAGGGGAGCGGUGAAAUGCGUAGAUAUUAGGAGGAACACCAGUGGCGAAGGCGGCUUACUGGACUGUAACUGACGUUGAGGCUCGAAAGCGUGGGGAGCAAACAGGAUUAGAUACCCCAGUAGUC